rnacentral:rRNA from 1 species
AGAGUUUGAUCUUGGCUCAGGAUAAACGCUGGCGGCGCACAUAAGACAUGCAAGUCGAACGGACUUAACCAUUAGUUUACUAUUGGAGCGGUUAGUGGCGGACUGGUGAGUAACACGUAAGCAACCUGCCUGUUAGAGGGGAACAACAGUUAGAAAUGACUGCUAAUACCGCAUAUGCCUUAGUUAUCGCAUGAUAAUAGAGGGAAAGGAGCAAUCCGCUAACAGAUGGGCUUGCGUCUGAUUAGAUAGUUGGUGUGGUAACGGCAUACCAAGUCGACGAUCAGUAGCCGGACUGAGAGGUUGAACGGCCACAUUGGGACUGAGAUACGGCCCAGACUCCUACGGGAGGCAGCAGUCGGGAACAUUGCGCAAUGGAGGAAACUCUGACGCAGUGACGCCGCGUGCAGGAAGAAGGUUUUCGGAUUGUAAACUGCUUUAGACAGGGAAGAAACAAGACAGUACCUGUAAGAUAAGCUCCGG